CGGUGUUUAACUGGCGUGAUGUGGGACGUCCUACCGGUGGGCUUAGCCUCGCGAGGGGCGGCCCAACUAAUAUCCCGUCGCGGUGCUCUUUACUGAGUGUCGAGUCGGGCCGGUACGUUUACUUUGAACAAAUUAGAGUGCUUAAAGCAGGCUAUCCUCGCCUGAAUACUGCGUGCAUGGAAUAAUGGAAUAGGACCUCGGUUCUAUUUUGUUGGUUUUCGGAACCCCGAGGUAAUGAUUAAUAGGGACAGAUGGGGGCAUUCGUAUUGCGACGUUAGAGGUGAAAUUCUUGGAUCGUCGCAAGACGGGACAGAAGCGAAAGCAUUUGCCAAAAAUGUUUUCAUUAAUCAAGAACGAAAGUUAGAGGUUCGAAGGCUAUCAGAUACCGCCCUAGUUCUAACCAUAAACGAUGCCAGCUAGCGAUCCGCCGAAGUUCCUCCGAUGACUCGGCGGGCAGCUUCCGGGAAACCAAAGCUUUUGGGUUCCGGGGGAAGUAUGGUUGCAAAGCUGAAACUUAAAGGAAUUGACGGAAGGGCACCCACCAGGAGUGGGAGCCUGCGGGCUUAAUUUGACUCAACACGGGAAACCUCACCAGGCCCAGACACCGGAAGGAUUGACAGAUUGAUAGCUCUUUCUUGAUUCGGUGGGUGGUGGUGCAUGGCCGUUCUUAGUUGGUGGAGCGAUUUGUCUGGUUAAUUCCGAUAACGAACGAGACUCUAGCCUGCUAAAUAGGCGUACCUUAUGGUAUCGCGAAGGCCCCCGGCUUCGGCCGGUGGGUUUUUACUACCAACGUACAAACAAAUCUUUUUAGAGGGACAGGCGG
rnacentral:rRNA from 1 species